UACGAGGGGAGCUAGCGUUAUUCGGAAUUACUGGGCGUAAAGCGCGCGUAGGCGGUUUUUUUAAGUCAGAGGUGAAAGCCUGGAGCUCAACUCCAGAACUGCCUUUGAAACUGGAAAACUUGAAUCUUGGAGAGGUCAGUGGAAUUCCGAGUGUAGAGGUGAAAUUCGUAGAUAUUCGGAAGAACACCAGUGGCGAAGGCGACUAACUGGCUAAGCAUUGACGCUGAGGUGCGAAAGCGUGGGGAGCAAACAGG
rnacentral:rRNA from 1 species